rnacentral:rRNA from 1 species
UGGGGAAUUUUGGACAAUGGGCGAAAGCCUGAUCCAGCAAUGCCGCGUGUGUGAAGAAGGCCUUCGGGUUGUAAAGCACUUUUGUCCGGAAAGAAAUCCUCUGGGUUAAUACCUCGGGGGGAUGACGGUACCGGAAGAAUAAGCACCGGCUAACUACGUGCCAGCAGCCGCGGUAAUACGUAGGGUGCAAGCGUUAAUCGGAAUUACUGGGCGUAAAGCGUGCGCAGGCGGUUUUGUAAGACGGAUGUGAAAUCCCCGGGCUUAACCUGGGAACUGCAUUCGUGACUGCAAGGCUAGAGUAUGGCAGAGGGGGGUAGAAUUCCACAUGUGAGCAGUGAAAUGCGUAGAGAUGUGGAGGAAUACCGAUGGCGAAGGCAGCCCCCUGGGCCAAUACUGACGCUCAUGCACGAAAGCGUGGGGAGCAAACAGGAUUAGAUACCCUGGUAGUCCACGCCCUAAACGAUGUCAACUAGUUGUUGGGGAUUCAUUUCCUUAGUAACGUAGCUAACGCGUGAAGUUGACCGCCUGGGGAGUACGGUCGCAAGAUUCAAAACUUAAAGGAAUUGACGGGGUCAUAGCUGUUUCC